rnacentral:rRNA from 1 species
GACGAACCGUGCGAACGUUGUUCGGAAUCACUGGGCUUAAAGGGCGCGUAGGCGGUCUAGCCAGUCCGGGGUGAAAGCCUCCAGCUCAACUGGAGAAGUGCCUUGGAUACUGCUGGACUCGAGCGAGGUAGGGGUGAUGGGAACUUCCGGUGGAGCGGUGAAAUGCGUUGAUAUCGGAAGGAACGCCGGUGGCGAAAGCGCCUCACUGGACCUCUUCUGACGCUGAGGCGCGAAAGCCAGGGGAGCAAACGGG